AAGCCCUUCGGGGUGGAUUAGUGGCGAACGGGUGAGUAACACGUGGGCAAUCUGCCCUUCACUCUGGGACAAGCCCUGGAAACGGGGUCUAAUACCGGAUACGACCCGCCGAGGCAUCUCGGCGGGUGGAAAGCUCCGGCGGUGAAGGAUGAGCCCGCGGCCUAUCAGCUUGUUGGUGGGGUAACGGCCCACCAAGGCGACGACGGGUAGCCGGCCUGAGAGGGCGACCGGCCACACUGGGACUGAGACACGGCCCAGACUCCUACGGGAGGCAGCAGUGGGGAAUAUUGCACAAUGGGCGCAAGCCUGAUGCAGCGACGCCGCGUGAGGGAUGACGGCCUUCGGGUUGUAAACCUCUUUCAGCAGGGAAGAAGCGCAAGUGACGGUACCUGCAGAAGAAGCGCCGGCUAACUACGUGCCAGCAGCCGCGGUAAUACGUAGGGCGCAAGCGUUGUCCGGAAUUAUUGGGCGUAAAGAGCUCGUAGGCGGCUUGUC
rnacentral:rRNA from 1 species